GUUCACUUUGGCAGCACAUUUAUUAAAAUUGGAACAAUACAAAAAAGAUUUGCAUGGUCCCUGCACAAGGUUGGGCACACAAAACUACAUUACUAGAGCAGUAAAUU